CCCGGUCAAAACCACCUAGAAUACAAAUUAGACCCGGUCAAAACCACCUAGAAUACAAAUUAGACCCGGUCAAAACCACCUAGAAUACAAAUUCGACCCGGUCAAAACCACCUAGAAUACAAAUUCGACCUGGUCAAAACCACCUAGAAUACAAUCCGACCUGGUCAAACCUACCUAGAAUACAAUCCGACCUGGUCAAACCUACCUAGGAAGGACUUUCUAGUCCCCCCGCCUCAGACCCUCACACCUGUACACCCACCUUGAGGUCGACUCCCAUUUGAACUCAGUCAAUUCAGGAAGUGAGUUCAAAAUUCAGUAUUUACCAAAUCGAAAUAUUGAGAGGCUUAAUUCAUCAAUGGAAUUUGAAUACCUCCCCUGAGUUGACUGGAUUGAAAUGAAUCUCUGCAAACCUGACACUUACUGUCAUUAUUGUGGACAUGUUCCCUGCCUUGUCUCAUCUAAUGGGAGAAGGACUACCAAGGUCAGAAGUUUGCUAAAAGUGUGAAAUCUGUGACUUAGAUCGACUAGGCUUUUGUAAACAGCUCAAAGCUUACAUCUAUUUAUUUUUCAUUUAAAGUAACUGUCAAACUUUUCCAGAUUUCUAUGAAAUAUGACAAUUAAUUACUUACAAUAUGAGAAAAAUAGUUUUCCUCCCCCAAAAAAGUAAUUAAGUAUGUUAAAAGCAGCUUUUCUGUAUUUGAAUGGUGUGUAUGUACCCCAACAACAUAAUGGUGUGGGCGUAUACUGGUCUUCACAAAUUUGAAUGCGAGUUGGCCGCUGAUUGGCCAGCUCAUCCUCCUCAGGAGUAUGACAUCAUACUCUAUUUAAACUGUCUGUUUUAGAUACAAGUUUGAGGUGGGGUUUUUGAGGUGUUUAUUUUUCUCCAAUUUAUGCUUUGGCCACAUGAGUAUAGGACGAGUCAACAUUAUUUGGCUUAACAGAAUAUUAACUUUCUUUAAAGUUACAUUUUCACUCGACAGUUACUUUAAGAAACAAGAGAUGAAGCAGCAAUGUUUUAUUUUUCUUAUCUCUAUGUGCAACUUAUUUUAAAACAUAUUUAGCUAUAAUUUUUAUUUAUAUAUUCUGAAAUAAAACAUGGAUACGAAGUUUAUACCAGGGCAAAAGCUUUGAUACAAUGUAUACCCAACUGAUGGUUGAUGACUUGGUUACUAUGGACAAUAGAAUUAGUGUUUUGUUUGGCUAAGGAAGUAGAUAUUAUCAGUGAAAAUGACCUAUGUUAAUGUUCAAAUGUGUUGCUUGAAUAGUGCAAGAAAAUAAUGUUAUUUAAUAGAAAUUAUAAACAAUUGCCAAGAUUUGCCUGCUCAUGUUUCAGAAACACCCACACCAGCUAAGCUCACAUUUUAAUUUGAGAGGAAUUGUUUGACUUAGCUACUAGUUUCAUAAGUUCAGAGAGUCAUGUUUAAGACAUUUUGGAUUACAAUCAAUCCGUAGUCAUGGUUGAAUAAUGUAAUAUUUCUGUCAUGUUGUUAGACCGUCAUGCCCGUAACUGUACUUACCUUUUGUAAAUACCUGUAAUGUGUGUCGCAUUUUAAAAAAUACUGCAAAGAUGCUUUGGUAUUAUUUGCUCUUCCUGUUUGAUGUUGAAUAAUGCUUUAUUUUGCGAUUGCAGCCAUUGUUGGUUCAUUAGUUUUCCCCACUAGUAGUCAGGUUUACUUAGCAUUUAAACCUUUUUUUAAGUAAGGAAUUAAACAUAAAAGGUCAUAAAACCAUUUCAUGUUUCUAGCUUAGUUUUUGUUCUUUGUUCACCUCAGAAAUUAAGGUGUAAAAAUGUCCCUUAUGUGAAUGCUUUUGUAAAGCUGCACAUAUAUUUUAAUGGGGCUAUUUAUCCACACUAAAAAGGUUGAUGUUGAAAUUGACUUUUGAAACUAGCAAUUGUUGAGAGAAGUUGAACAAAGAUAAAGACCUUUUAUCUAUAACUGUGUGACCGGUGACGAUUCCUUUCCAGUAGUGGCAUUUUGCCAGAGAGAUGACAUUUUACCAUGCCUAGAAGGCCCGAAAUAAUUCAAUUUAGUUUAAAAGUAAUGUUACCUCAAAAUGCCACUUAAUUUAGAUCUUAAAUUCUACAUACAUUUGGAAACUUGUUGUCCUCCUCUCUUGUGUUCUGCUCUGUCAUUCUCACAGUGUUUGCUAGCUAUUAAAACCAUUAAUUAUUUCAUCAUGCCCAUCAGACAGUCAGUGGUAUUCAAAAGCUCUGUUUGGGAAAAUAUCUGAAUUUUCUGUCCUCCGUUGUUACGGUGCUUUAUUGUGUAGUUUGCAAGUUUACAGGACUGUCGAGAGAUUCAGAGGAAAUAUAUUUACCAUGUUAUUUUGCUGCUUUCUACAAAAGUUGAUUAUUUAGUAAGCUUACAAGUGUUCAAUUUUCCGUUUUGUCUGUUUGUGUAACAACACUAUCAUGGAUAAUAAAAGAGAUAUUUUUUGCACAAGGUGUGUGUUCCCAGCUCCUGGUACAUAGCAUAUCUCCCAUAUUUCUGU
ensembl:lncRNA